CGAAGUAGGACGCGUAGUAUCACUUCUCCGUGGUAGAAUAGUGAAUAUAGCAUGACCAAAUGACUGUGCUUUACACUGGACACUGAAUUUUUCAUCAGGAGGUUUUAUUUACUUUGGUUAGUCUCCAAAUGAAGAGCAGAAGCAGAAUCAGUGUUCUGCAUUCACCUCUUUGUCUUGUUCCUGUCUUCUGGUAGCUGGGAAUGGCAAACCAAGUAAUGAUGGAUUGGAGAGUGAUGAAAAGAUGAAGCUUCUGAAAAUGUGUGAGCAUCGAAGCGUAGGCCAGGUGCUACAUUUUGAACGUCGGGGUCUGCUGCUGACCUUAAGUUACUGGGAGCUCUGAAACCGUUCCAGUUGCAUUGGUGCCUUGACUCAUCACUGUUUAGGCACAGGCUUUGCCAGAGUGCAGGACGGGGGCAUGCUGCUUGCAGGGAAGACUUCCAUACAGGAGCUUUGCCGUGGGUUAUAGAGGCAUUCCAGAGCUUGAGCAGAAUUCUGCAGACCUGAAAGAGAUGCCCUGGUUCAGAGCUGUAGAAGGAUUCAGCGAUGCCAAAAAGCCGUCUGAAUCAAAAAGAGAUGAUGAUCCUGAUGAAGAAGUUUUGCCUAGAGUGAUUGAAAAACCUAUCCUGCCAAAAAUUACAGUAUUUGCCAAGAAUGUGUGGGAUCCUUUAUCGACUUCACAGACUGAGAGCCUUACACAGCUUUGCGAUAACGUGUUUGAAAAACAGGUCCUGUCCAGAAGGGAAUGCAGUCAGGCAAAACAGGUAAAGGCUGUUGUGGUAAUGGGGAAGGAAGUUCUUGAUACAGUGUAUGCACUUCACUGUAAAUAUUCACUGUAACAUACACUUAGCCCAGUUCUGGUUUUAUUCUCAUGCGAAUCUGGGAGUUUAUCCAGCAUAAAGUAGGUGAAACUAAGUUGAUGUUUAGACCCUUAGCAUGAAAAGAAAUAAUAACAAACGUUUAUGCAGUCGCCACACUUGACUUCAGGAAGAAGCUUUCGAUAAGAUUCUGUUUGUAUAGUAGCUGUGGUGUUUUUGUUGUGGUUUUUUUAAUAGAACCUCAUAGCUGGAAAAUACAUUAAUCUCGUUAUCCAGGAGGAUUUUAUUAAAAAAAAAAAAAAAAAAAAAAGGAAAGGUGGUUAAAGCUGAGACUUGCUCACAGGUCUUUAAUGCAGUCGUGAUCUUAGUGUCUAUUAUAUACAGUGGCACCUGCAUUCAGCUGAGUUAGCAUUUUGCUUUUCCACAUGAACAAAAUAACUGCCUAAAAUUGUUGUAAGUGGAAGGUGAGAUCCUUUUCUUGUGAGGAUGUGUUAAUAUUUUUCCUUUUUUCUUUUCUUGACAGGAUUUGAUUAACACGGUUGUCCUGAGGAUGAAGCAGUCUGUAGAGGAGGAUGUCUUUAUCCCUCUGUAUCCGAAAAGCACUGUGGAAGACAAAUCAUCUCCAUGUUCAAAAUUGCAAGGCAGAUGGUUUUGGUCAGCUGUUGAGGUAAAGAAAAAGCACCGAUCUUGUCUGUGAAAAUCAUUUUAGUUAAAAGGAGAUUGUAGUCUUGGAGGAAAUGUAU
ensembl:lncRNA